rnacentral:rRNA from 1 species
UCCUCACCGGCGAGGUUAAGUAUUUAAGAUACGGAGCCGAAGCGAAAGCGAGUCUGAAUAGGCGCUUAGUCGUGGGGGCAGACGCGAAACCUUGUGAUCUACCCAUGGCCAGGUUGAAGCUUAGGUAACACUAAGUGGAGGACCGACGGUAAACGUUGAAAAGUUUUCGGAUGAGCUGUGGGUAGGGGUGAAAGGCUAAUCAAACUGGGAAAUAGCUCGUACUCCCCGAAAUGUUUUUUGGAACAGCCUCGAGGUUGAGUAUCACGGAGGUAGAGCUACCGAUAGGACUAGGGGGCUUCACCGCCUACCAAAUCCUGACGAACUCCGAAUGCCGUGAUAUAUACUCGGGAGUGAGCCCAUGGGGUGCUAAGGUCCUUGGGCGAGAGGGAAAGAACCCGGACCAUCAGCUAAGGUCCCCAAAUCCGGACUAAGUUGUAUAAAACGAGGUGUGACUGCAGAGACAGCCGGGAUGUUUGCUUGGAAGCAGCCAUUCAUUCAAAGAGUGCGUAACAGCUCACCGGUCGAGCGGUCAUGCGUGGAUAAUAAUCGGGC